rnacentral:rRNA from 1 species
GACGUAGGGCGCGAGCGUUGUCCGGAAUUAUUGGGCGUAAAGAGCUCGUAGGCGGUCUGUCGCGUCUGUUGUGAAAACUCAGGGCUUAACCCUGAGCUUGCAGUGGGUACGGGCAGACUAGAGUGCGGUAGGGGAGACUGGAAUUCCUGGUGUAGCGGUGAAAUGCGUAGAUAUCGGAAGGAACAUCAGUGGCGAAAGCGAGUCCCUGGACAAUACCUGACGCUGAGGCACGAAAGCUAGGGGAGCAAACCGG